GGUUUCACCAGUUCUUCCGCUUGCCCUGGGCAGGUCUGCAAGUCUGCUGGAACCUGGCACACAGCGGCCCUCCUGCCCAGCCACCCAGUUCCUGAGCUUCCUCUCCAUGCAAGAGUCCACUUGUAAAACAAACAACAGGCUUGGAAUUGUUCCUCCCCUUCACCACCAGAGCCUGGCAACCAUGCAUUACCCAACAACGGUUACCAUGGCUGCAAGGAGGAAGCAGACAGCAAGCCCACAGAAGUGUGUAUUGAAGAAAGGGAAGUCAAUAGCUCCUGGAGUUAACAAGUGACUGUUAUUUACGGAAGGAAUGGUAUUUGCAGAUGGGAAUGACUGCAAAAUGCAUAGAAGGACACAGCCAUGCCCUUUCCACGGAAGUCACAGAACACACCUCGACACACUGAGAAGACGUCCACGACAGGGAAAGAUGACGAAGGUCUCCUUUCUUCCACAUUGUAGGAGAUUUUCUGCCAUAAAGUCAUUAUAUUCUAUAGUUGUUUACGUCCUCGGCAUUUGGAGAUAGCUUUUCUCGUGAAGUGAAGACUGGCUCAGAUUGUUUGAUUAACUGCAAGAAUUGUGGCAAUGGGAGGAAGAAUUCAUGAAGGAUGCCUCCCUUACCUGUAUAGAGUUGUUUUCAUUGAUAAAUGGUUGUGAUCCGUAAAA